rnacentral:rRNA from 1 species
AUUGAACGCUGGCGGCAUGCUUUACACAUGCAAGUCGAACGGCAGCGAGGAGAAGCUUGCUUCUCUGUCGGCGAGUGGCGAACGGGUGAGUAUAGCAUCGGAACGUGCCAAGUAGUGGGGGAUAACCAAACGAAAGUUUGGCUAAUACCGCGUAAGCUCUAAGGAGGAAAGUAGGGGACCUAAAUAAGGCCUUACGCUAUUUGAUCGGCCGAUGUCGGAUUAGCUAGUUGGUGGGGUAAUGGCUCACCAAGGCAAUGAUCCGUAGCGGGUCUGAGAGGACGAUCCGCCACACUGGGACUGAGACACGGCCCAGGCUCCUACGGGAGGCAGCAGUGGGGAAUUUUGGACAAUGGGGGAAACCCUGAUCCAGCCAUGCCGCGUGUAUGAAGAAGGCCUUAGGGUUGUAAAGUACUUUUGUUAGGGAAGAAAAGCUAGUUUUUAAUAAAAAUUAGUGAUGACGGUACCUAAAGAAUAAGCACCGGCUAACUACGUG